CCUUAAAACGGGCAGAAUCCUACAACUCUCUGUAAAAACGUACACCUCCAGCACAUUUUUCAACGGUAACAUGUACUUUGUCUCUUCAAUUGGCAACGGAUUUUGCUUAUCUUCUCUGGUAAGUUUGGGAUAUGAAUGGUCAAUUGGUGAACGGUCAUAAUUUAUUUGGGUUCUAUAAAUAGAAACCCUUCUCUUCAUUUUUAAAGAAGAUUUCAGGGGGAAGAACAUAGCCACAAUGGUUGUACACCCACAAUGGGGUUUUUGACAACCCUCAAAAGUUUGAACACUUAGAAGCUCAGCAAAAACUUUGAGUUUCGAGGAAGUUCGAGCUCGUACUUUAAUUUUUGCAAAGUCGUUUCCAUUCGUCGAAAAUCGAUUAGUGUGAAAGGUAGUUUGUCGUCUCUCAUCGCCCCCGUCGCUGCUCGGCAAAAAGGACAUCUCUGGUUGCCUUGUGAGUAAAGCUUCUAGCUGCAAAGCACUGCUGCUUAUUCCCACUACCUGUUGGUGCCUCUGCUGAACUUAAAGGGACAGAUCCUACACUUGGCUAAGAAUGGUUGUUGAAGGUUCCACUUCAACACCUCGUGAGUAAUCUUCCCGAGGCCUUGAGUAUGAAUUUCCAGGGUGAGCUAUGUUCCUGAUCAACAGCCCGAAAAACUCUUCUUAUGAUAUCUGUCCAUUGUUCCGAGACAGUAUUCCAGACCUUGUUAUUUUACAUUCCAGACUUAUGUAUAUUUAGUGGCUCUUAUACUUAGACCAGAUUUUGGAGCAUUGUAGUAUUAUUACGCCACUUAGUAGUUAUUUAUAUGCUUUGAGACUAUUUAGUAAUUAUA